AGGAUUAUUGGGAGAAGUCCCACGUCGGCUAAUAAAGGGGAUGAACAUGAGUUUAUAAGUAAGGAAUACAUCUUCAUUGAUAUGAGGCCUUUUGAGAAAACCAAAAGUAGAGCCACG